rnacentral:rRNA from 1 species
UACGUAGGGGGCGAGCGUUGUCCGGAAUUAUUGGGCGUAAAGCGCGCGCAGGCGGCCGAUUAAGUCAGGUGUGAAAGGCUGCGGCUCAACCGCAGAGUUGCAUCUGAAACUGGUCGGCUUGAGUGCAGGAGAGGGGAGCGGAAUUCCCGGUGUAGCGGUGGAAUGUGUAGAGAUCGGGAGGAACACCAGUGGCGAAGGCGGCUCUCUGGCCUGUAACUGACGCUGAGGCGCGAAAGCGUGGGGAGCGAACAGG